GACGAACGCUGGCGGCGUGCUUAACACAUGCAAGUCGAACGGUGAAGGGACCGGUUUUUGCUGGUUCUGGAUGAGUGGCGAACGGGUGAGUAACACGUGAGUAACCUGCCCCCUUCUUCUGGAUAACCGCACGAAAGUGUGGCUAAUACGGGAUAUUCUGCGCCUGCUGCAUGGUGGGUGUGGGAAAGAUAUUGUUUCGGUGGGGGAUGGGCUCGCGGCCUAUCAGCUUGUUGGUGGGGUGAUGGCCUACCAAGGCGGUGACGGGUAGCCGGCCUGAGAGGGUGGACGGUCACACUGGGACUGAGACACGGCCCAGACUCCUACGGGAGGCAGCAGUGGGGAAUAUUGCACAAUGGGCGCAAGCCUGAUGCAGCGACGCCGCGUGAGGGAUGGAGGCCUUCGGGUUGUAAACCUCUUUCGCCAGUGAAGCAGGCCUGUCCCUUUUGUGGGUGGGUUGACGGUAGCUGGAUAAGAAGCGCCGGCUAACUACGUG
rnacentral:rRNA from 1 species